rnacentral:rRNA from 1 species
AUUGAACGCUGGCGGCAGGCCUAACACAUGCAAGUCGAACGGUAACAGGAAGCAGCUUGCUGCUUCGCUGACGAGUGGCGGAAGGGUGAGUAAUGUCUGGGAAGCUGCCUGAUGGAGGGGGAUAACUACUGGAAACGGUAGCUAAUACCGCAUAAUGUCGCAAGACCAAAGAGGGGGACCUUCGGGCCUCUUGCAAUCGGAUGUGCCCAGAUGGGAUUAGCUUGUUGGUGGGGUAACGGCUCACCAAGGCGACGAUCCCUAGCUGGUCUGAGAGGAUGACCAGCCACACUGGAACUGAGACACGGUCCAGACUCCUACGGGAGGCAGCAGUGGGGAAUAUUGCACAAUGGGCGCAAGCCUGAUGCAGCCAUGCCGCGUGUAUGAAGAAGGCCUUCGGGUUGUAAAGUACUUUCAGCGGGGAGGAAGGGAGUAAAGUUAAUACCUUGGCUCAUUGACGUUACCCGCAGAAGAAGCACCGGCUAACUCCGUG